UUUGACAUCUGUAGCUGGUGGCGUCUCUACUUUGGUUGCAGGUACAUCUACAGUAACCAUGGAUUGAGCUGCAACUGUAGAAGGUGAGGUAGUUGGCCCUGAUGGUGAGGUUGUUGGCCCUGAAUGUGAGGUGCUCGGCCCUGAUGGUGGGGGCAUUGGAAAUGGAAAAGGCGAUCCUGGUGAAAAAGUAGUAGUAUUGAAUUGGUUAUUUUGUGAAUCCAUCUGGCCCAUCAAAGUCUUGAAAGCUUGUUGCAUUGC
rnacentral:lncRNA from 1 species